AGGUAGUUGCUGUCAUGACACUAUCAAUAGGUUUUGCUUUGAUGACUUUAAUGAUUCAUGCAGAAGGUAACAGUGGCGUUGUAUGUCCGACACCGCUAUGUCAAUGUCGGUAUUUACAAGCUAUUUGCUCCGGGGAGAAUCUUACGUACAUUCCUCGCUUACCAGAUAAAAUUCGCUCUGUAACGUUUAUAAAUGGUAAUAUCGGAGUACUUUCACGAAAAAGCAUAAGAAAUUUAACUUUUAACCACAUUGAAAAGCUAAAGUUCACAAAUAAUAGGAUUUCUGAAAUUAAGCCAAAUACAUUUACUAACUUCACUUGGAUUACUCAUUUUACUUUUUCAUCAGAACACUCAUUAGAUGUAUUUGAUGUUAGGAAUGCAUUGAUAGAUAUUGGCACAGGAUCUAGAUAUCUACAAAAGCUCUACUUAAUAGACAUUGGUGUCACUGUUCUUCCGAAUGAUAUGUUCAAACCCUUAAAAGCAAGUAAAAUUCAUACGAUAAGUCUCAAAAGUAAUAACAUGACGGUUUUGAAUUGCUUGUUGUUUUCAGAUUUGAAACAAUUGGCUGAAUUGGACGUAAGAUUUAAUAAAAUAACACAUGUCAUACCCGGGGUGAUGCCAAACCUUCAAAUACUAUACUUAAACCACAAUGACUUAAUUCGCUUGCCGAAUUUUUGUAUAGACCACUAUAUAAAGAGUGCAUUUAGUAACUUAUUAAAACUCUAUAUAAGUAACAAUAAGAUUUCAAACCUUAGUCAAUUUCGAUGUUUGCCAAAGCUUCAAGUUCUCAUCCUCGGUAGUAAUCUAAUCCGAGUUAUUCAUUUUGAUACGUUUAAGAAUUUACAACAAUUGACGGAACUCGGUUUAAUGGCUGUAGGUCAACCAUUGAAAAAAAUAGAGGUUGGAGCUCUAAAUAUUUCGACGUUGAAGACAUUAUCGCUUAGAAAGUGUCAUUUUGAUUUCUAUAGACUUCCACCA
rnacentral:lncRNA from 1 species